CCAUGCAGCCGAGCGGUAGAGUUCCUUCGGGGACUUGAGAGCGGCGUACGGGUGCGGAACACGUGUGCAACCUGCCUUUAUCUGGGGGAUAGCCUUUCGAAAGGAAGAUUAAUACCCCAUAAUAUAUCGAGUGGCAUCACUAGAUAUUGAAAACUCCGGUGGAUAAAGAUGGGCACGCGCAAGAUUAGAUAGUUGGUGGGGUAACGGCCUACCAAGUCGAUGAUCUUUAGGGGGCCUGAGAGGGUGAUCCCCCACACUGGUACUGAGACACGGACCAGACUCCUACGGGAGGCAGCAGUGAGGAAUAUUGGACAAUGGGUGAGAGCCUGAUCCAGCCAUCCCGCGUGAAGGACGACGGCCCUAUGGGUUGUAAACUUCUUUUGUACAGGGAUAAACCUUUCCACGUGUGGAAAGCUGAAGGUACUGUACGAAUAAGCACCGGCUAACUCCGUGCCAGCAGCCGCGGUAAUACGGAGGGUGCAAGCGUUAUCCGGAUUUAUUGGGUUUAAAGGGUCCGUAGGCGGAUCAGUAAGUCAGUGGUGAAAUCUCAUAGCUUAACUAUGAAACUGCCAUUGAUACUGCUGGUCUUGAGUAAGGUAGAAGUAGCUGGAAUAAGUAGUGUAGCGGUGAAAUGCAUAGAUAUUACUUAGAACACCAAUUGCGAAGGCAGGUUACUAUGUCUUAACUGACGCUGAUGGACGAAAGCGUGGGGGAGCGAACAGGAUUAGAUACCCUGGUAGUCCACGCUGUAAACGAUGCUAACUCGUUUUUGGGCUUUAGGGUUCAGAGACUAAGCGAAAGUGAUAAGUUAGCCACCUGGGGAGUACGAACGCAAGUUUGAAACUCAAGGAAUUGACGGGGGCCCGCACAAGCGGUGGAUUAUGUGGUUUAAUUCGAUGAUACGCGAGGAACCUUACCAAGGCUUAAUGGGAAUUGAUCGGGUUAGAAAUAGACCUUCCUUCGGGCAUUUUCAAGUGCUGCAUGGUGUCGUCAGCUCGUGCCGUGAGUGUUAGGUUAGUCUGCACGAGCGCACCCUGUCACUAGUGCAUCAUAGUGGGGACUCUACUGAGACUGCUACGCCAGUAAGAGAGGUGGGGGAUGA
rnacentral:rRNA from 1 species